GGGGACCUCAGGUCAGGCGGGGCUACCCG
rnacentral:rRNA from 1 species